rnacentral:lncRNA from 1 species
UGUUACUAAGGAAAAAUAUGUAAUGGGAAAACUAGUGCUAGCUGUUUGUUCUUAUGGAAAUUCAUUCAAGAUUUAAGAGAAGAGAAGGGAGAAGCAAUUAGCCAGUGCUAUCUGGAAGUGAAUUCAAUGACUCAGAAGCUGUGAUUCUGUAG